AGAUUAAACACAGACAACCAAAUUUAUGUUUGCUACCAACGCAACUUUUGCAUACCUACACUAAACGGAUCCGGAUCCUCUCCACACCUUUCUCUCCAACCAUCUACCAAAGCUUUUCACUACAACUUGACACCUCAUUAAUGAAGGCAUCCGACGGCUGAGAUUAAACCAGCAACUUGCAACUUCAAAUCCUUUAGUUGCACGACGCCGUUUCAUAUUUGCUGCAAACGGCAGCCUAAUGGUCUACCGUUUCCUCUAACGCUGGCGAUUUAACUUUCAUUUCAUUUAUGUAUAUAUAUACAGAAGUCUACAAACCCAGAGCCCUCAUUUUCCUCAAACGCAAGGAAGACUCAAUCCUCCAUUCGAUCAGUCCGGCGACUCCAAUUAUGAUGAUUCGUCCCCAUCCUCAUAUCCAUCUGGAAAGAAAUAGAACUUCCCGAAUCUCUAGUUGAUUUGUGCUUUUUUGCUCAAGGAAAAAAAAGAAGAUAAGGUUUUGCUGCUUGCGUACAAAUUUGAUUUCGUUUCAUUUUGUGUUUUAUAAAUUGACUUUCUUUUGAUUUUACAUGCCGCUGCUGAUGAAACUGAAACGAUUUGUUUUGAAUUUUUUGGUGAAGAUGAUUUAGAUGGAAUUUUUAGAUUGGAGGUUAAUCAAUUUACGGGUUUUGAAUCCAUGAACAUACAAUUUUUCUUGCACAGACUUAAGAAUAAAUUUUUUUCUUGAACAGCUUUAAACUAAUCCGUGUACGUUCAGGGGGAAUAGUUGAAUCUGUGCCAAUGAUCCUUUAAGAGUGGAGAAAUUCUAAGAUCUGAAGAGAAGAUUUGGGAUAGGAGGGGGGAGUUUAGAGAGAGAGAGAGGAGGGGGGACGUGGUUGGAAACGGAAAAGGAGAGCAGUGUUAAGCUGCCGUUUGCAGCAAAUAUGAAACGGCGUCGUGCAACUAAAUGAUUUGAAGUUGCAAGUUGCUAGUUUAAUCUCAGCCGUCGGAUGCCUUCAUUAAUGAGGUGUCAAGUUGUAGUGAAAAGCUUUGGUAGAUGGUUAGAGAGAGGUGUGGAGAGGAUCCUAAUCCACACCAAACAAGCAGGUGUGGAGGAAACUGGGUUGUUAAAGUUAAAAAUAAACUAUAGGUUUCCUAACCCCAACAUGUCAAGCUAAUGAGUGAUGACUAUUCACAAACUUAAUUAAAAAAAGAAGAAGAUACAAACAGAUACAAGGUAAUCCUUUGCUCCCGGUAACAAGUAGGAAGCAGGAAGGACAAUCAGUAUUGUUAAUUAGCAGUCGAAGUCACAUGUUUACGAUUAUGCAUAAAAGUUUGUAUAAAUUGUAUAUA